rnacentral:misc_RNA from 1 species
GUAGGUGAACCUGCGGAAGGAUCAUUACAGAGUUCAUGCCCUCACGGGUAGAUCUCCCACCCUUGAUAUCUAUUCUCUUGUUGCUUUGGCGGGACGCUUCUUGCCACGGGCUUCGGCUCGUGAGUGCCCGCCAGAGACCCAACCAACUCAUGUUUUAUGUGUCGUCUGAGUACUAUAUAAUAGUUAAAACUUUCAACAACGGAUCUCUUGGUUCUG